rnacentral:rRNA from 1 species
UACGAAGGUGGCGAGCGUUGUCCGGAUUUACUGGGUGUAAAGGGCGUGUAGGCGGGGAUUCAAGUCAGAUGUGAAAUUCCGGGGCUCAACCCCGGCGCUGCAUCUGAAACUGUAUCUCUUGAGUGCUGGAGAGGAAAGCGGAAUUCCUAGUGUAGCGGUGAAAUGCGUAGAUAUUAGGAGGAACACCAGUGGCGAAGGCGGCUUUCUGGACAGUAACUGACGCUGAGGCGAGAAAGCGUGGGGAGCAAACAGG